UACGGGGGGGGCAAGCGUUGUUCGGAAUUACUGGGCGUAAAGGGCUCGUAGGCGGCCAACUAAGUCGGACGUGAAAUCCCUCGGCUUAACCGGGGAACUGCGUCCGAUACCUGGAUGGCUUGAGUUUGGGAGAGGGAUGCGGAAUUCCAGGUGUAGCGGUGAAAUGCGUAGAUAUCUGGAGGAACACCGGUGGCGAAGGCGGCAUCCUGGACCAACACUGAC
rnacentral:rRNA from 1 species